rnacentral:rRNA from 1 species
AGCAGCCGCGGUAAUUCCAGCUCCAAUAGCGUAUAUUAAAGUUGUUGCAGUUAAAAGCUCGUAGUUGAAUUUCGGGGUCAGUAGGUCGGUCGUGCCACUGGUAUGAACUGGUUUUACUGAUUCCUCCCUCUUGAAGAACUGUAAUGCCAUUAAUUUGGUGUUGCAGGGAAUCAGGACUGUUACUUUGAAAAAAUUAGAGUGUUUAAAGCAGGCUUUAGCUUGAAUACAUUAGCAUGGAAUAAUGAAAUAGGACGUUUGAUCCUAUUUUGUUGGUUUCUAGGAUUGACGUAAUGAUUAAUAGGGAUAGUUGGGGGCAUUAGUAUUCAAUUGUCAGAGGUGAAAUUCUUGGAUUCAUUGAAGACUAACUACUGCGAAAGCAUUUGCCAAGGAUGUUUUCAUUAAUCAAGAACGAAAGUUAGGGGAUCGAAGACGAUCAGAUACCGUCGUAGUCAUAACCAUAAACUAUGCCGACUAGGGAUCGGAUGAUGUUAAUUUUUUAAUGACUCAUUCGGCGCCUUAC